AGGUCAUUUUGAGUGAAAUUUCUAAUUAAACCUUUGUAGCGCUCCCAUGCUUCAAGUAAGGACUCUCCCGCUUGUUGAUCAAAAUUUUUAGUAGCCUUCUUAAGUUU